rnacentral:lncRNA from 1 species
GCUGGAGGCGUCCGCAGAAGACCCGCGCCGGGGCCGAGGGCCGCGUGGGGGCCGCAGACUUGCAGGGAGCGCAGCCCCAGGCCAAAAGGAUGCUGGAAUAAAACAAACCAGAGCUUCUUCCCCAAAUCCCAGUGAGGUUCCUGCCUCUGGGCAGGAAGGAGUGGCCUUUGCUCCUGGGGAAAGGAACUAAAGAGGAUUCUGGAGGACUCUGGGCUCCCACAGCCUCUGGGACUCUCAGGCCUCCUCUAGGGGGAAACAUGGCCAGAGCCUGGGGAAGACAAAUUGAAUGCUGCACACGCUGACCGGCUGUGGCCCCUCACCUCACAGCCUAGGAGCUACUUGCUGUAAGGCCAGUGUGCAGAUGAGGGACAUUGGUCUCCACAGUGUUCAACCAUUCAGCCAAGAUCACGGCCAGUGAGCUGUGGAGAAGGAACCCACAUCUGCCUGGAUCACGAUUCUUUCCACCACUGGGUAGAAGCCAGGUUACCGGUUCCUCCAGGUGCAGAAACAUGGGCCAGUGGCUGAGUCCCGGCUCCACGAGGAGAUGUUGGGAGAAGGCAGCACACAUUGAGGAGAAGCAAGGAGCACCACUCCUGAUGGUCCCCUCCAGAGCCCCAGGAAACUCUUGUUAGCAAUCUUAGAUUAAAUUCAGAGUUUCUGGAUCACGACAGGAAGCUGUGUCCAGCACGAAGGUGUCCUGUGAACAGGCUCAAUCACAAGCUCUGCAGAGACGGGAAGUGACAGAGGCCCCAGAAAGCCAGUUCCCGACAACGCCAAUACUGCACGUUUAUCAGCUGCGGCAAGAGCCGGCCAGAGGCGGUGGCAGCACCUCAAUGCCCUUGCCUCGUCUUCAAGAUUCUUCUGUUUGAUGUUGCGUCCUCACUGUUCCUCUGCUGAGGAGCUGUAGUGUGGCUCACAACUACGCGAUGACUCUCCAGAUUCAAAGACCACAUCUCACCCUCUCUAAAGCCCCAGGGGCCCAGCGCAGUGCCGAGUGCAGAAGGAUUGAUGAGCAUUUGCUGAGCCGGGUGCUAAUCCCAUGGGCAUUGUUUCCUCUGCCCUCAGUCUCCAGCCUGCAGACGCCUGAAUGGAUUCUGGAGAGGUGUGCGUUGGACUCUGAAGGUCCUCUGAGCCCAUCCAGGAUAAAGAUGCUCUCUCCCAGGCGUCUGCUCAGCCGCCGGCUAUCGGCAGGACAUUGCGCACCAGGUAUCUUCAAGCUGCUUCUGGCUGGAUUUAGGGCAUGAUGGAAACAUCAAAACAACUGUAGUUCUGCCACGGGGUCCCACAUCUGCUUAUCCUGGGACAGCCACGCAGUCCCCACCCAGGAAGCGGCAGCAGGUUUCAGCACCCUGGAGAGGGCCAGGCCCCUGUGGCUGGUCAAGCUCCUCAGUGUUAAGGGAGCAGCUCAGGAAGGCCCCGCCCAGGACGAUGAGGGGACCAGGAAUGAAGUCAGCAGGGAUGAGACAUGUGAGGACCAGUGAGAAGUACUCAUCUUUUACAAUGAAUGUCAACAGACUCUUACAAAUGAAUUCACCCCAGACUACACUGUCAGCUCCUGGGGACAGGUUUAAAUCGCCUUCUGUGUCUAGUCCUAAAUAUGGAGAAGACAUCAGAGCGGGAGGUGGAGAGGCUUUGACAAACCUCCAGUUUACAAGCAGCACCUCCAGACUGGAGACUGCUCCCCGUUUCCUCCCAGCACCCACCCACGGAAGCAGCUGGUGCCCAUAGCAGGGACGGCUGAGGGAUGUGUCCAGGACGCCCUCCCAGGAGGCUCGGUGUUUGGGCUCCUCAGCUCAUCCAUCAGCACAGACAUCCUAGGUCCUCCCCACUGGAGGGACUGGGGUGGAGAAGGGACCACUUCACCCAAGGUCUGAAUGAAAAGGCUUCCACAGGUGAGGUGAGGACGGCGGGGGUGAAGGUGAAAGCCUGGACAUGACCCAGAAGGGUGGACGUUGGCCUUGACCAACUGGCAGAGCCCCAGGGGAUGGAGUGAGAUUGAUGCCCCCGGGCCUGGCUGGCACAGAGCCAAGGAAAACACCUGCGUCAGAGCUUCCUUCCACCCAC